rnacentral:misc_RNA from 1 species
AAAGUCGUAACAAGGUUUCCGUAGGUGAACCUGCGGAAGGAUCAUUAAAAAAAGGAUGUGCUCUGCGCAUAACUCCUCUCACACCCCCCCGCCCGUAAAAAGGCUUGGGGGUUGAAUGAGUCCCUUAACCCUUUGUGAACUUUAUAUCUUAUGCUUCGGCAGCACGCCCUUCUAACCGAGGGUUGGUAAGGCUGCCGAUAGCCCAUUCUAAACUAUUUUAUUUCAAAAUCAUGAAGUCUGAUUACUGUUAAAUUUAAAAACAAGUUAAAACUUUCAGCAACGGAUCUCUUGGUUCUC